rnacentral:rRNA from 1 species
AAUAUUGGACAAUGGGCGAAAGCCUGAUCCAGCAAUGCCGCGUGUGUGAAGAAGGGCUUCGACUUGUACCGCACCUUACGUUGGGAGAAAGGGCAGUAAGUUAAUUCCUUGCUGUUUUGGCGUUACUGACAGAUUCAUCACUGGCUAACUCCUUGCGAGCCUCCGAGGUAAUACGAAGGGUGCAAGCGUUAAUGGGAAUUCAGGGGUGUAAAGCGGGCGUAGGUGUUUUGUUAAGUUGGAAGUGAAAGCCCCGGGCUCAACCUGGGAACUGCUUUCAAAACUGGCAAGCUAGAGUAUGGCAGAGGGUGGUGGAAUUUCCUGUGUAGCGGUGAAAUGCGUAGAUAUAGGAAGGAACACCAGUGGCGAAGGCGACCACCUGGGCUAAUACUGACACUGAGGUGCGAAAGCGUGGGGAGCAAACA